rnacentral:rRNA from 1 species
AUUGAACGCUGGCGGCAGGCCUAACACAUGCAAGUCGAGCGAGCGGCGGACGGGUGAGUACUGUAUGGGGACUGCCCGAUAGAGGGGGAUAACUACGGGAAACGGUAGCUAAUACCGCAUACUAUCGGAUAACCCAGAUGGGAUUAGCUAGUAGGUGAGGUAAUGGCUCACCUAGGCGACGAUCCCUAGCUGGGCUGAGAGGAUGAUCAGCCACACUGGGACUGAGACACGGCCCAGACUCCUACGGAGGCAGCAGUGGGGAAUAUUGCACAAUGGGCGCAAGCCUGAUGCAGCCAUGCCGCGUGAAUGAAGAAGGCCCUAGGGUUGUAAAGUACUGUCAUUAGGGAAGCGGUACCUACAGAGAAAGCACCGGCUAACUCCGUGCCAGCAGCCGCGGUAAUUC